AGAAAAAUCGUCAGCACAUUCUGGUCAUCAUAUUAUGGAAAUAUUUGUGACUGAAUCCCAUCUGAAUGUUGGAUGACAUAUAUCAAGAUGACACUGAACAGGACAUAACUGAGGAAAAUGGAUGUGAGAUAA